GACGAACGCUGGCGGCGUGCCUAAUACAUGCAAGUAGAACGCUGAGGUUUGGUGUUUACACUAGACUGAUGAGUUGCGAACGGGUGAGUAACGCGUAGGUAACCUGCCUCAUAGCGGGGGAUAACUAUUGGAAACGAUAGCUAAUACCGCAUAAGAGUAAUUAACACAUGUUGGUUAUUUAAAAGGAGCAAUUGCUUCACUGUGAGAUGGACCUGCGUUGUAUUAGCUAGUUGGUGAGGUAAAGGCUCACCAAGGCGACGAUACAUAGCCGACCUGAGAGGGUGAUCGGCCACACUGGGACUGAGACACGGCCCAGACUCCUACGGGAGGCAGCAGUAGGGAAUCUUCGGCAAUGGACGGAAGUUUGACCGAGCAACGCCGCGUGAGUGAAGAAGGUUUUCGGAUCGUAAAGCUCUGUUGUUAGAGAAGAACGUUGGUAGGAGUGGAAAAUCUACCAAGUGACGGUAACUAACCAGAAAGGGACGGCUAACUACGUGUCAGCAGCCGCGGUAAUACGUAGGUCCCGAGCGUUGUCCGGAUUUAUUGGGCGUAAAGCGAGCGCAGGCGGUUCUUUAAGUCUGAAGUUAAAGGCAGUGGCUUAACCAUUGUACGCUUUGGAAACUGGAGGACUUGAGUGCAGAAGGGGAGAGUGGAAUUCCAUGUGUAGCGGUGAAAUGCGUAGAUAUAUGGAGGAACACCGGUGGCGAAAGCGGCUCUCUGGUCUGUAACUGACGCUGAGGCUCGAAAGCGUGGGGAGCAAACAGG
rnacentral:rRNA from 1 species